GACGAACGCUGGCGGCGUGCUUAACACAUGCAAGUCGAGCGGAAAGGCCACUUCGGUGGUACUCGAGCGGCGAACGGGUGAGUAACACGUGAGUAAUCUGCCCUUCACUCUGGGAUAGCCACCGGAAACGGUGAAUAAUACCGGAUACGACCACUCCACGCAUGUGGUGGUGGUGGAAACUUUUUGGGUGGGGGAUGUGCUCGCGGCCGAUCGGCUUGUUGGUGGGGUAAUGGCCUACCAAGGCUUCGACGGGUGGCCGGCUUGAGAGGGUGACCGGCCACACUGGGACUGAGACACGGCCCAGACUCCUACGGGAGGCAGCAGUGGGGAAUAUUGGACAAUGGGCGGAAGCCUGAUCCAGCAACGCCGCGUGAGGGAUGACGGCCUUCGGGUUGUAAACCUCUUUCAGCACCGACGAAGCGCAAGUGACGGUAGGUGCAGAAGAAGGACCGGCCAACUACGUGCCAGCAGCCGCCGUAA
rnacentral:rRNA from 1 species